rnacentral:lncRNA from 10 species
GUUCUGCGCUAGCACCGUGACUUUGUUCCCAGCGUGGGGACUGUGGGAGAGAUGGAGAGAGACUGGUACAGAAAUGGUGAGACAAGGAGAGAGCCAUAAAGAGGAAGACAGAGAGAAAGAAGACAAAUGCAUAAAGAGGUUCAGAGACGUGUACGUAAAGAUAGCCCUGAAAGGCGACGAAGCCCACAGAGAGAGGUGGAAGAGGGAAGAGGUAGCGAAAGAAAGGGAGAGCUGAGGAGCAAAGAGGAGUGUGGACGAUGCAGAGACCGAAGGGUGCGCAGACAAAGGAAAGGACAAGCUUGUCCAGAGAGAAUGAGAGACAAACAGAUAAACUGCAAUAAAAAGGCACCACCUUCUGGACCCAAAAGUUUUGUGAUUUGUAAAAGCAGUGAAAAGGAGUCAGGAAAAUGGGACUAAUCUCUACUUUGAGAGGGAGGGAAAGAGAUAUAGUGUGUAUGUAGAAGCAGUGAAAAGGAGUGAGGAAAAGGUUUGGGACUAAUCUCUACCUUAAGGGUAGGACAGUUAGAGGGAUAGACACCCCCUGGUGUUGGGAAAUGAGAUUUUUCUCAUUUCAGGUGACUGUGGAGAUCGAAGGCCUGGUUUUAGGGCUAGCGAACACCUUCUCCCUUUGGUUUUGGUCCACAGAAGACUGGUGAUACAGACUCCUUAUCAGUGUAAUUGUGGGGAC